rnacentral:rRNA from 1 species
AGCUCCAAUAGCGUAUAUUAAAGUUGUUGCGGUUAAAAAGCUCGUAGUUGGAUUUCUGUCGGUGAGUAGCGGUCCGCCCUCAGCGGUUGGUACUUGCUACGCCCCCGGCAUCUUCCUGGGGACUGUAUCUGCUCUUCGCUGAGUGGUGCAUAAUCCUGGACUUUUACUUUGAAGAAAUGAGAGUGUUUCAAGCAGGCAUGCGCCCUGAAUACGUUAGCAUGGAAUAAUAGCAUCGGACCUCGUUCCAACGCUGUUGGUUUCUUGGACCGAGGUAAAGGUGAAUAGGGAUUGUUGGGGGCAUUCGUAUUUAACUGUCAGAGGUGAAAUUCUUGGAUUUGUUGAAGACGGACUACUGCGAAAGCAUUUGCCAAAGAUGUUCUCA